rnacentral:snoRNA from 1 species
AAGAGAGCAGUGAUUAUAAAACAUAAGAAUAAAAAUUCUGAUCUGCUCAUAUCUGGGCAUGAUAGACUCAUUAUACACCCAUAGAAUAUGAGCUCUC